AAUGGCUCCAGUUCCGAGGGCAGCAUGGCAGCACGGUGGCUGGCAUCCUUGGCUCCAUUUAUGAGCACCAUAAUCUUGAGAGAGUCGCUCGACCUCCCUGGGCUGCAGCUUCCUGUUCUGGAACAGCUGCUUUUUCUAGAAGUGGCCAAGCACAGGAUGGAUCCAGAAUUACGACGGAGAAGCCCCUGUGGGGGUCACUGGACCGGCUGACCAGCAAGGCACUCUCUAAGGUGGAGAUGGCAAGCCUCCAGGGCAACAGGACAUCUUGACUUAAUGCCCCUAUCCACUGUGUUUGUUGUGCUCAUCACUGGACGUUCUGCUGCAAGGACAGCUUCACCAGACCAAGCCGCUGCAUCCCCU
ensembl:lncRNA